rnacentral:rRNA from 1 species
GGGUAAGAACCUCACCUAUCUUGAUAUGUAGGUGGGGUUGUGAUAUAUUGUGCCCAGUGGGCCACUUUUGGUAAGCAGAACUGGCGCUGUGGGAUGAACCAAACGCAAUGUUACGGUGCCAAAAUUUACAACUCAUGCAGAUACCAUGAAAGGCGUUGCUUGCUUAAAACAGCAGGACGGUGGACAUGGAAGUCGUAAUCCGCUAAGGAGUGUGUAACAACUCACCUGCCGAAGCAACUAGCCCUUAAAAUGGAUGGCGCUUAAGUUGUAUACCUAUACAUUGCCGCUAAUGUAGAUGAUCUAUAUCUAGUUUUGGCUUGAUAUUAGAUUUUGAAACAUUAGUGAGUAGGAGGGUACAAUGGUGUGCCUAGAAGUGUUUGG